GAGUUUGAUCAUGGCUCAGGAUGAACGCUAGCGGCAGGCCUAACACAUGCAAGUCGAGGGGUAACAGGGUAGCAAUAUCGCUGACGACCGGCGCACGGGUGAGUAACGCGUAUGCAACCUUCCUUUAACUGGGGGAUAGCCCGGAGAAAUUCGGAUUAAUACCCCAUAAGAUCAUAGAAAGGCAUCUUUUCGUGAUUAAAGCUCCGGCGGUUAAAGAUGGGCAUGCGUGCCAUUAGCUAGUUGGUGAGGUAACGGCUCACCAAGGCUACGAUGGUUAGGGGGUCUGAGAGGAUGAUCCCCCACACUGGUACUGAGACACGGACCAGACUCCUACGGGAGGCAGCAGUGAGGAAUAUUGGGCAAUGGGCGCAAGCCUGACCCAGCCAUGCCGCGUGAAGGAUGAAUGCCCUACGGGUUGUAAACUUCUUUUGUACGGGACGAAACUCUUGGACGUGACCAGGAUUGACGGUACCGUGCGAAUAAGCAUCGGCUAACUCCGUGCCAGCAGCCGCGGUAAUACAGAGGAUGCAAGCGUUAUCCGGAUUUAUUGGGUUUAAAGGGUGCGUAGGCGGAGUAAUAAGUCAGUGGUGAAAUCUUGCGGCUUAACCGUAAAACUGCCAUUGAUACUGUUAUUCUUGAGUAUAGUUGAAGUGGGCGGAAUGUGUAAUGUAGCGGUGAAAUGCUUAGAUAUUACACAGAACACCAAUUGCGAAGGCAGCUCACUA
rnacentral:rRNA from 1 species